rnacentral:rRNA from 1 species
GUGGGGAAUCUUGCGCAAUGGGCGAAAGCCUGACGCAGCAACGCCGCGUGUGUGAUGAAGGUCUUCGGAUCGUAAAGCACUGUCGCGAGGGACGAAUAAGGGGCGGGCUAACAUCCCGUUCCGAUGACGGUACCUCGAGAGGAAGCACCGGCUAACUCUGUGCCAGCAGCCGCGGUAAUACAGAGGGUGCAAGCGUUGUUCGGAAUUAUUGGGCGUAAAGCGCGUGUAGGCGGCUCAGCAAGUCAGGUGUGAAAGCCCUCGGCUUAACCGAGGAAGUGCGCCUGAAACUAUUGAGCUUGAGUGCCGGAGAGGGUGGCGGAAUUCCCGGUGUAGAGGUGAAAUUCGUAGAUAUCGGGAGGAACACCAGUGGCGAAGGCGGCCACCUGGACGGUAACUGACGCUGAGACGCGAAAGCGUGGGGAGCAAACAGGAUUAGAAACCCGUGUAGUCC